UGGGGAAUAUUGGACAAUGGGCGAAAGCCUGAUCCAGCCAUGCCGCGUGUGUGAAGAAGGCCUUUUGGUUGUAAAGCACUUUAAGUGGGGAGGAAAAGCUUAUGGUUAAUACCCAUAAGCCCUGACGUUACCCACAGAAUAAGCACCGGCUAACUCUGUGCCAGCAGCCGCGGUAAUACAGAGGGUGCAAGCGUUAAUCGGAAUUACUGGGCGUAAAGCGCGCGUAGGUGGUUAUUUAAGUCAGAUGUGAAAGCCCCGGGCUUAACCUGGGAACUGCAUCUGAUACUGGAUAACUAGAGUAGGUGAGAGGGGAGUAGAAUUCCAGGUGUAGCGGUGAAAUGCGUAGAGAUCUGGAGGAAUACCGAUGGCGAAGGCAGCUCCCUGGCAUCAUACUGGCACUGAGGUGCGAAAGCGUGGGUAGCAAACAGGAUUAGAUACCCUGGUAGUCCACGCCGUAAACGAUGUCUACCAGUCGUUGGGUCUUUUAAAGACUUAGUGACGCAGUUAACGCAAUAAGUAGACCGCCUGGGGAGUACGGCCGCAAGGUUA
rnacentral:rRNA from 1 species